AGGGUAGGGGAUUCGCUUGUCCAACUCCUUUUGCUUUAGUUUGAGACCCAUUGGCUAAAGUAACGUUGGGAAGAAACUGUGAAUACGUAAUAUUGACAAAAGGGAUUUAUUACCAGAGAUAUGAUUAGAAGCAGCUGAGUCCACAACCCAUUGUUCAAGAGGACUAGACACGGAAACACAAGCAAAAGAAUUACCAGCAAUAGAAAUAUCAGUCUGAGCAACAACUACUUGUGGAGAUGUCUGCUUACUUGCUCGAUAUUUAAGGAACUCAUUAUACUCCCCUUC
rnacentral:lncRNA from 1 species